GUGAAGUUCAUCUUCCAGCUUCUUAGAUUUUUUCGUCAACUGACAAACUUUCCUUCUGAGGUCUCGGAUCGUCGACUUCAGAGGAAUCCCCUGUGGCAGGGGGAGAGCUCCGGCAGGACACUAUCGUUGGGAGACAAGAGCGCCACGACUCAGAUUAGUACGAGAAGAUAAAAGAGAAGAAAAAGAAUACAAAAAAAAAGAGGAGAAAAGUUCUAAGGAAGCUCGGCUUCAUCAGACUUCGAACUCUCGAUUUCGGCCAUCGUCGAG
rnacentral:lncRNA from 1 species